AUUGAACGCUGGCGGCAGGCUUAACACAUGCAAGUCGAGCGGAGAGAGGUAGCUUGCUACUGAUCUUAGCGGCGGACGGGUGAGUAAUGCUUAGGAAUCUGCCUAUUAGUGGGGGACAACAUCUCGAAAGGAAUGCUAAUACCGCAUACGUUCUACGGGAGAAAGCAGGGGAUCUUCGGACCUUGCGAUAAUAGAUGAGCCUAAGUCGGAUUAGCUAGUUGGUGGGGUAAAGGCCUACCAAGGCGACGAUCUGUAGCGGGUCUGAGAGGAUGAUCCGCCACACUGGGACUGAGACACGGCCCAGACUCCUACGGGAGGCAGCAGUGGGGAAUAUUGGACAAUGGGCGGAAGCCUGAUCCAGCCAUGCCGCGUGUGUGAAGAAGGCCUUAUGGUUGUAAAGCACUUUAAGCGAGGAGGAGGCUACUUUAGUUAAUACCUAGAGAUAGUGGACGUUACUCGCAGAAUAAGCACCGGCUAACUCUGUGCCAGCCGCCGCCGUAACAC
rnacentral:rRNA from 1 species